GAGAUGUGGGUAGUCCGCACGAGCGCACCUUGUCCUAGUUACCAGCACGUUAUGGUGGGAACUCUAGGGAGACCGCCGGUGAUAAACCGGAGGAAGGUGGGGACGACGUCAAGUCAUCAUGGCCCUUAUGGGCAGGGCUACACACGUGCUACAAUGUCGAAUACAGAGGGCUGCAAACCUGCAAAGGUAAGCUAAUCCCUUAAAGCUCGUCGUAGUCCGGAUCGGAGUCUGCAACUCGACUCCGUGAAGUCGGAAUCGCUAGUAAUCGCGAAUCAGAAUGUCGCGGUGAAUACGUUCCCGGGUCUUGUACACACCGCCCGUCACACCAUGGAAGUGGAUUGCACCAGAAGUAGAUAGUCUAACCUUAGGGAGGGCGUUUACCACGGUGUGCUUCAUGACUGGGGUAAAGUCGUAACAAGGUAGCCGUAGGGGAACCUGUGGCUGGAUCACCUCCUU
rnacentral:rRNA from 1 species